UGUGUGUGUGUGUGUGUGUGUGUGUGUGUUUUAAAUCAUUAUAUCUCUUGAGAACUCAGAAAAUCAGGAAUCUACUAUUUAGAGGGAAUUAAUACACACACACACACACACACACACACACACACAUGA
rnacentral:miRNA from 1 species